CGGGGCGUGGCUCAGGUGGUAGAGCGUCGGCUUCGGGAGCCGAAGGUCGGGGGUUCGAGUCCCCUCGCCCCGA
rfam:Thermocrinis minervae strain DSM 19557 genome assembly, chromosome: I